rnacentral:lncRNA from 1 species
UAAGUAUUUUGGCACAUUACGGAAAGAGUUUCCUUCCUUCACAGUAAAGUUCUAAAACAGAUCUUCCUUUACCUCCAGUGAAAUUGAUUAAUGACAUCAACUUAAUUGAUUGAUUGCGGUUUCUCAACCUGUUCAAGAUCCUAGAAACCAAACUCAGGCAUGAGUCACUAUUUUUCUAUUUGGUUCUAUCUGUGUUUAGAGCUAGCAUCACUUCUGGUGCCAAAGCAAGCGCCCAGUGUGCUGCAAAAGCAGAGAGGCUGGGUAUUUGCUCUAUACUAAUUUCCUAUUUGUGAUAUGAAUGAAGUUAAGAUCAACUUGAUGAAGCAUAACUUAUCCUGUUCUAUUUUUGCCCUGGUAAUGAAUAUCACUUUCCCUGAGUGUCAUGUGAAAUUUGUUCUGUUUUGGAAAGACUGUUGAUUUCUUGAAAAGUUAAGUUGGCAGAAGCUCUUGAGCUAUGUACAAAGCAUCUGUCCACUUAUCCAAAUGUUUCUCCAAUAAAGUUUCAUUUUUACUUGGGACAGUUUUCUACUACUAUGGGGGUAUUUCUUCCUUGGAAUAUCUUUUUAAACCCUUUGAAAGCCCCUCUUCAUUCAAGGUUCAACUAAAAAAUAUUUCAGUAUGAAUUUUUUUUCUUAGCCCUCAGCUAGAGUAAUAUUUUCUUUCUUAGGUGCCAAGAUCUAUCCCUAGCACCUCAUUUUUUUUUUCAUUUUUAAGGGUUUUUUUGGAAGUAUAGUUGAUUUACAAUGUUGUGAUGAUUUCUGCUAUACAGCAAAGUGAUUCAAUUAUACAUAUACCCACAUCCAUUCUUUUUCGGAUUCUUUCCACAUACAGACUAUCACAGAAUAUUGGGUAGAGUUCCCAGUGUUAAUAGAAGGUCCCCUUUGGCCAGUCAUUCCAUAUACUGCGAUUUGCAUAUGCUAGUCCCCAAACCCUAAUCCAUCCCUCCCCUCUGACUUUCCCCCUUUGGCAACUAUAACUUUGCUUUUAGUCUGUUUCUGUUCUGCCAAUGAGUUCAUGUGUAUCCUUUUUUUUUUUUUUCAGAUUCCACAUUUCCACAUAUAUGUGAUGUUUGUCUUUCACUGUCUGGAUAACUUUACUUAGUAUGAUAAUCUCUAGGUCCAUCCACGUUGUUGCAAAUGUCAUUAUUUCAUUCCUUGUUAUGGCUGAGUAGUAUUCCAUUGUAUAUAUGUACAAGAGCUUCUUUACCCAUACCUCUGUCAAUGGACAUUUAGGUUGCUUCCAUGUCUUGGCUAUAGUGAAUAGCGCUGUGAUGAACACUGCAGUGAAUGUAUCCUUUCAAAUUAUGUUGUUUUUUUUUUUUUUUCUGGAUAGAUGCUUUGGAAUGGGUUUACUGGAUCACACAUUAUAUUUUUAAUUUUUUCCAUAGUGGUUGGACCAAUUUACAUUCCUACCAACAGUGUGAGAGGGUUGCCUUUUCUCCACACUCUCUCCAGCAUCUAUUAUUUGUAGACUUUUUGAUGAUGGCCAUUCUGGCUGGUGUAAAAUGGUACCUCAUGGUAGUUUUGAAUUGCAUUUCUCUAAUAAUUAGCUAUGUUGAAUAUCUUUUCAUAUUUUUUUUUGGCCAUCUAUAUGUCUUCUUUGGAGAAAUGUCUAUUUAGAUCUUCUGCCCAUUUUUUGGUUGGGUUUUUUUUUUUUAUAUUGAGCUUCAUGAAUGUGUAAAUUUUGGAGAUUAAUUCCUUCUAAGUUGCUUCAUUUGAAAACAUUUUCUCCCACUCUGUGGAUUGUCUUUUCAUUCUUUUUAUGAUUUCCUUUGCUGUGCAAAAACCUUUAAGUUUAAUCGGGUUGCUGGUGUCAUGGUUAUGCACAUUUUUAUAAUGUAGUUUCCAUUCCCAAUUCUUACUCCAUUCUGAAGCUUUAAGUAGACAUUUCUUUUUUUCUCUUUUUUUCUUAACCUUUGGAAACAUUAACACUCUUCCUCUGGUAGAAUAUAUCAUCAUGUAUGUUAUAGCAAGAGGCCCUGCUUCUGACUAUUGAGAAAAAAAAAGUCUGGAAAACAGUCCUCACUUGCUCCCAACACUGAGGCAUGAUAUAGAUUAGCUGGUUGCGUGAUCCUACCUAGAACUUUAAGUAUUAAUGCUCAUUCCUAGGGGCUGUUGAGAUUUGACUCCAGCCCUGGUGGUGGCAGGAGCCACCAUUUGGUGAAUCAAUCCUCUGGUUCAGUGAUGGUCCCCACUGUCCAAUGGGGACGUCGGAAGUGUUCCGUCUUGCUUCUGGUUCUGGUUCCUGGACUGCGAUCUUGCCUCUGGUUCCGGUUCCUGCCUGUUUCCUGAGAUUGGUUCUUCCUUUUCAUGUUGAGAUUGCAAACUACCUAGUAUUCUUCUAAUAAGCCAUCACUUCUGUUAUUGUUAACCAAGAACCGUGACUGUAGAGGAAGAAUCUUUGUCUUAUUCAGAUUUGAUUACCAUGUGCCUAAUAAAUGUUUAUCAAAAUGUUGAGAUCAUGCUGGAUGUGACGUCCAUGUGAGCCAGUGUGGAAGUAGCAGCCAAAUUAUUAACUAAACCAUCAUGUUAAAUUUUAGAGUGUGAGGUGCUGUACCAAGUUUGGAGUCUUCUUCCUCCCUGUACCCUCUUUUUCACCUCCGAAUAUGGGAUCUCAGUAUAGAUAAAUGAAUACAGGAUCUUGGUCUAGAUAUGCAGCUGCUGAUGGGUUAGAUUACUGCCUAUUUAAUCUUUGUGGGGUUGCUAUGUUCAUUUGUGCAUAAAAAAAUCUCAAGCCUGAGAAAUUUUCCUGACAUUUGGAGUCAUUAAACUGUUUAAAACACAGGAGGAGUUAACUGAGUGGGUUGUUUACUCCUGGCUAUGUGGCUGGUAUGGCAAGUACUAGGGACCCAGGCAUGGAGGAGAGGGAGAGACACUGGGUGGUUUAUCCUUGUUAGAGUUUUGUUGGGUCCUGAUCUUCCCAAGGAAUUUUGCAGAGAUGAGAGCUUUCCAAACUCUGAAAAGAGAAGUGCAGGGGCAGGAAAACCCUGUAUUUCCUAUAACCAGACCCUCAGUGCAUAAAUAAUGCCUUGAAUCUGGAAAGUGGCCUGAGAUUUCCCAGUAGUUCCAUUGCUCUACUUCCCUGGCCUGGGCUCCUCUGGUGCUGGCAGAGCUGUGUGUAUAUGUGGAGGUGUAGCUGAGAAUGUCAACCCCUCUGGGGAAACUCACCUGCUGACAGCGCAUGAUGAGUCUCCUAAUGGGUCUGUUUGGGCUGCAGCACUACCCAGAGUGCCGCUUCUGCUUGGCAGUGGCAGCUGCCACACCACCAAGCCAGCCUUCCUUCUCCAUGGCCCUGGGAUGUCCCCUCCAGGUUUGUGCCACUUCCUGAACUCCAGAAAGCUGUCUCCACCAUGGGGAGUGAAAUGUGUCUUUAUCAACCACCAGGCUUGAGAUGAGAGUCCUCUCCUGGUGGGAAGUCACCGGUCACUUCUCAGGACAGAUGUAGUAAACAGCGAGGUAGUGGCCCCUGGAUUUACAGUCCUCUCGAAACAGCAUUGGGCUGUAAGAUGUGGUGGUAGUGGCUCAGAGAGACCUGAGAUAGAUUGAGGAUUCCUUCCAAAUUCCUGGUUUCAAGUAGCCCAGAGGAUACCAGAUGACUUCUAUAUGACACUUGACCUCAAACACUACUCUUGAGUUUCUGUCCAGGAGCCUGCCAUACUUGUCUAUGCCAAACCACUUAAAUGGACAACCCAACUGGAGCCUUUUGUGUUCAUACCCCACAGGGUGCAAUGAUGCCUACGCACACAGCUUGCAUUCCAAAGCUGGAACAAAGAGGCAUUUGUUCUCUUUCCUUAGUGGCUAUGAAACAUUUUCAAGAACAUUUUGAGACAGAAUUAUGUUGAUUUGACUCAGGACAAAAUCAAUGGGCUGUUUUUCUGAGAAAGAUGAGAGGCCAUCACAUUGUUACACACCCCCUCCAUCUCCUUGGGAAGCAGACAGCCUGUGAGCACAUCAUCCCUUGUGCUUAUUAACUGUACAUCUAGGGAUGUUCCUAUUAAAUAAAUUGUUUUGAGGUCAACAUGAAACACCAACU